GGUGCAAGAAAAGGGAAGUGAAAAUGUUUGGGGCUGAGCUCUCGCUUACCUCACACAUGGAAGGAGGCACCCAGAGCUACCACGGGACGGGCAGAGGCCAAGCCCCAUCCCUGCUCCCUCCCCAUGGACAGCAGGAAGGAGGAAAAAGAAGAACCUUAGAGGGAAACCCUCGAUUAGCUCGGAGGGAGUUCCCCCCGCGGCUCCAGGACCAUGUCCUGAGUUGGUUUUCACAGCACGGCGAUGCUGAUCCCGGUUCCAUAGAUACCGAUGCCAUGACAACCCUGACAUCAUCCGUGCUCCGGAGCGGAGCUGCAGGGAAAGGCGCAGGGAGGAGGAGCACGCUGGCCCUGCUGGCACUGGGCUGUGGGGCUGGGGGCUUCCCCUGGCCCCAGCACAGCCCCACUGCAGCCCCAUUCCCCUUGCAGGGACCGUGCCACUGCCACAGCCCUGUGGGGCAGGUGUCACACCCCUGACACACACAGUGCAGUCACAGAGAGCAGGAUUCCCGUGGAUCCUGUUUCCAGCUCCUUUUGGCCCUUUUCAGCUUUGUCAGUCUGUUCUUUCUGGAGGGUUGGGAUCAGGAUUUAACUGUUGAAGCUCAUAAUGAUGCCACGCAGUUUUUCUCAAUUACAGCUGGAACAGGAAUAUUUUGGACAAUGCAGAGCACAAGGACACUGCCUGAAUCUUUGAGAUGUUGCCCUAGAACCAAUCAUGACCAUUUCUAGACAGAAGUGGAAUUGUGGCUGCAGAAGAUGAAGUAACUUACCUGGUGUCUAGCAAGAAGCUUAUGACUAAAAAAGAACUGAAUUUUGAUCUCUGGAGCCUCCAGCCCCGUGCUCUGGCCACGAGGACAUUGGCUUUUGUGCCUUGUAUAUCUUUUACCCCAUCUAAGCAGCAGAACAUGAAGCACAGUCUCAGAAUC